UUUUAUGGAGAGUUUGAUCCUGGCUCAGGAUGAACGCUGGCGGCGUGCCUAAUACAUGCAAGUCGAGCGAACGGACGAGAAGCUUGCUUCUCUGAUGUUAGCGGCGGACGGGUGAGUAACACGUGGAUAACCUACCUAUAAGACUGGGAUAACUUCGGGAAACCGGAGCUAAUACCGGAUAAUAUUUUGAACCGCAUGGUUCAAAAGUGAAAGACGGUCUUGCUGUCACUUAUAGAUGGAUCCGCGCUGCAUUAGCUAGUUGGUAAGGUAACGGCUUACCAAGGCAACGA
rnacentral:rRNA from 1 species